rnacentral:tRNA from 1 species
UACGACCGUGGCGUGGACGCCUGGGUGCUCCCGCUGCCCACGAUCGACCCCCAGAUCGUGGCCCGUUCGGCGCAGAUGCUCGAGGC